GGANCUUCGGUCCNUGGCGGACGGCUCAGUAACACGUGGCUAACCUACCCUCGGGUGGGGGAUAACCUCGGGAAACUGAGGAUAAUACCCCAUAGGAGAAGAGGUCUGGAAUGAUCCUUCUCUGAAAACAUAUGUGCCCGAGGAUGGGGCUGCGUCUGAUUAGGUAGUUGGUGGGGUAACGGCCUACCAAGCCUACGAUCAGUACGGGCCUUGAGAGAGGCAGCCCGGAGAUGGGGACUGAGACACGGCCCCAGGCCCUACGGGGCGCAGCAGGCGCGAAACCUCCGCAAUGCACGAAAGUGCGACGGGGGGACCCCAAGUGCUUACGCACUGCGUAGGCUUUUCUAAAGUGUAAAAAGCUUUAGGAAUAAGGGCUGGGCAAGUCCGGUGCCAGCAGCCGCGGUAACACCGGCGGCCCGAGUGGUGACCACUUUUAUUGGGCCUAAAGCGUCCGUAGCCGGUCCAGUAAGUCCCUGUUUAAAUCCUACGGCUUAACCGUAGGGCUGGCAGGGAUACUGCUGGACUUGGGACCGGGAGAGGGCGAGGGUACUUCAGGGGUAGCGGUGAAAUGUGUUGAAUCCCUGGAGGACCACCUAUGGCGAAGACACUCGCCUGGAACGGGUCCGACGGUGANGGACUAAAGCCAGGGGCGCGGAACCGGAUUAGAUACCCGGGUAGUCCUGGCCGUUAAACUCUGNCGGACUAAGUGUUAGGUAGGCCCCGGUGNCUAUCUAGUGCCGAAGGGAAGNCGUUAAGUCCGCCGCCUGGGGAGUANGGUCGCAAGACUGAAACUUAAAGGAAUUGGCGGGGGAGCACNAACAACGGG
rnacentral:rRNA from 1 species